rnacentral:rRNA from 1 species
CGUUAGCGGCGGACGGGUGAGUAACACGUGGGUAACCUACCUAUAAGACUGGGAUAACUCCGGGAAACCGGGGCUAAUACCGGAUAAUACAUGAAACCGCAUGGUUUCAUGAUGAAAGACGGUUUUGCUGUCACUUAUAGAUGGACCCGCGGCGUAUUAGCUAGUUGGUAAGGUAACGGCUUACCAAGGCAACGAUACGUAGCCGACCUGAGAGGGUGAUCGGCCACACUGGAACUGAGACACGGUCCAGACUCCUACGGGAGGCAGCAGCA